rnacentral:lncRNA from 1 species
GGCCCUCGAAGGCUCGAAUACAAGCUCGAUACACAAGAGUCAGCGGAAGCAACAAUAUCUGAGUACAAACAUAAGUUAAACAAGGAUGCCUUAAAAAUGCUAACACAAAAGCAACGCGAUCGAAGAGGCAAGGCCUCCUGCCUAGGACCUCCUAACUACUCCUGGUCGUCGGCGGUCUCCAUGUAGUAGCAUCCAUCGGUGGUGGCAUCUGGCUCCAGGGAUCCACCAUCUAGUUGCAUCAACCAAAAAGAAGAAAGAAGGGGGGAAAGGGGUAGCAAAGCAACCGUGAGUACUCAUCCAAAGUACUCGAAGCAUCAGAUCUAUACUAAGUAUGCAUUGGUAUCAAAUGGAAGGGUUGUAUUUGUGGACUGAACUGCAGAAUGCCAGAAUAGAGGGGGAAGGCCUAGCCUAUCAAAGACUAGCAUCUUCAAGCAGCUCCAAGCAUCUUGCAGCAUGUAGAAGAGUAAAGAAUAGCAGUUUAUAUUUAACAAACAUGUUGUAGUAUCAAUGCCCAGAGAUCCUUCCUCGACUCCCUACGAGAAAGCAAUCCCGUAGCCACAUAUCCAUCACAUAUCUCAAGUAUCCAGUUCUAGUUAUAUAAGAUCCGGAUACAAGUCUGAACAUCCAUUACCAUGGACACGGUAUUCGAAUAUAUGUCUUCCCUGCAGGGGUGCACCACGUUACCCAACACGCUCAAUCAUUCUGGUCGCACACACCUUUUUGGGGUCAAUGCCCGGCCUCGGAAGAUCAACACGUCGCAGCCCUACCUAGGCUCGGCAGAGAGGUCCCCGCCGGUCUACCUCCUAAGCACUCCGGGGUCUGGUCCCAUCGCCUGUUGCACUAUGAGUCGUUGCGAGCAGGGUGGACUAGGCUCCACCACUACAGGAUGGUGCCGGCCCAGCCGUGCCGCACUGCUGAACUGGACGAACAAAGCUUCGGCUGAUACCACGACGUCGAGGCCCAUAUCUAUUCUCGCGUGGUGGUUAGUGCGUAAAGGCCAGAGGCCAACUCAGAACAAAUACCCAAACCUGUUAGUUCAUUGGGGGCUCGCGGAGACGAGCAGAGACUCACGAUAAUGUGACCCCGUCGCCCUGUCUCGUGGAUUUACAGCAAGGGCCUAGAUUGCCCGACCGUGCCACGUGGAAAACUCGCGGGUGCUCUACGGGCCCGCCUGACUUUCACAUCAACUCGCGGGUACCCCUCAGGGCCGACCCGACUUCAACAAUGGUCUCAAGUAAGUCAAGGUAACCGUGUGUCCAAACAUCAAGGGGAAAACCCGAGGAAUCACCCCCGGUGGAUUCCACUCAAUGUAAUCAUCAAGGUGAACGUAAGAGGGACCACCCUCGAGGUUCACACUUGGGGUUUUGAACGACAGAGCCAUAUCGGGAAUGGUGAAAGAGGAAAUCACCCUCGAUGACCACAACGAAUAGCUACACUACAAAAUUAUCAUCAGGAGUGCGUUAUGAGGGAUCACCCUCGACACUCGAUAGUAGCUCUGCAGAGUCGGGCAACAAAAGGGGCAUGAUGUGAUGUGACGUGUCAGGCUCUAGUCAUCGAUCACGUUGAUCGAGUCGUCGAAGAUGAAGCAGGGGCAACACCGACAAGGUGGGAGUCAUUAAUGGAUCACUAACCAACCUAUACUAAGCAGUUUAGGAUAAGCAGGUAGGUAACAAUAGCAGGCACAAAAGCAGGCUAUGCAUCAAAAUAGGAGCAAUCAAUAACAAUAGCAAAAUCUAAUGCAAGCAUGAGAGUAUAGAAUGGGAGAUAUCGGGAUGAUCAAAGGGGGGGCUUGCCUGGUUGCUCAGACAAGAAAGAGGGUCGUUGUCGACGUAGUCGAUCACAGGGACAUAAGCAUCGGUCUCGGGGUCUACCGGAGAUAAGAGGGGGAAGAAACAGUAAAUGCACACAAACAUAUGCAUAACAAGACAAUAAGCGGUGGUAGAGGUGUUCUAACGCAGUGCUAGGAGAUACUGACGAAGGGGAAAACAUCCGGGAAAGUUUUCCCGGUUCUGGACGUCUGUCAGACAAAUGAACCGGAGGGUAAAGGUAGCAUGUUCGCUAUGCUAGGGAUGUGUGGCAGACGAACGAAGGGCGUAUUCGGAUUCGUCUCGUCGUUCUGACCAACUUUCAUGUAUAAAAACCUUUUCAUCCGAGUUACGGUUUAUUUUAUAUUAAUUUUCAAAGUUUUAAUUGAUUUCAUGGAAUUAUUAUUAAAUCUAAAAUGGGGUUAUUGCAUCAGCAUGACAUCAUCAGGGUCAACAGUCAACCUUGACUGGGUUGACUAGUCAAAAGGAGUAGUGGGGCCCAUCUGUUAUAGUCACCUUAGCUAAUCUACUAAUAGAUUAUUUAACUAAACAAGGUGAUUAAACUAAUUAAUCCUAAUUAGACCUAAUUAAACCAAGUUAAUUAAGUUAAUUGUUUUUUAUUAAAUUAUUUUUCUUUCUCUUUUUUUUUAAACAAAACAAGGGAGAGGGCCCCAGCUGCCAGUGGCACAAAAGCCACUGGAGCGGGCUUAACGGGCGCGGGCGAGGGGUGCCCGUCGGGGCAGACCCAGGCGACGACCACAGCCGUUCUGGGUGCGGGGGCGCCGGUGCGGUGCGGCGCGGCCGGCGGCCUCGGCCGGCUGGAGCAGGCGCUGCGGGGCGUGGGUUGCAGCAGCAGUGGGGGCGACGGGAGGUAGACACGUCCGGCGGAACGGUCGUGGCCAGGCGCGGUGCGGGGCACGCGCAGGACGAGUGGGGGCGGCCGGGGAGAACUGGGCCAUCAGGCGGAGCCGGAGCACGAACACGUCGGCGGAGAUCUACGGUUACCACGGGAGAGUACGGAGAGAGAGAGAGGGGACGGUGCUCACGGCGGAGCUGUAGGGGGGUGGCAGCGGGCUCGUUGGAGCCGUUGGGGAGGACGACAGGGACGGUCCAGCGGCGUCGUGGCUCCGGCGAGGAGGGCUCCGAGGCGAUGUGCGGCCGACGCGAGGUGGUCCGGCGCGUCGGGGAGACGAGCGGCGGCGUCCAGCGACGGGGGCGUCGGCCGCCGUCGGGGCAUAGGAGAGGUUGGGAGGAUCCGGCGAUGGGGCGUCCGGUGACGGGGUCGAUGGGAGGCG